rnacentral:lncRNA from 1 species
CAUCUAGCAAUCUAAUAUGUGGUGUAGCAGGGGACUAGUUUCAAUUGGACUCAUAUUCUUAGAUUGAUCCAGAUAAUGCAAGUCAAGAAAUAGUUCUCCAUUGGACUUAGAACUCUCAAGAGUCCAACUUUAGCAGGAUUAGAAUUCCUUAACAUCAUUGGUACAAACACAAGCAAUAAGCUCACUCUUUUUUAAGGAUAAAAAUGGACUAGCUAUUAUCC